rnacentral:lncRNA from 1 species
ACCCAGACAUGGUGGGACUAUAGCUGUGCCUAUAAUCCCAUGUAUUCGAGAGGCUGAGAUGGGAGGAUCACUUGAGGCUGGGAGGUCACAGCUGCAGUGACCUGACUCAUGCCUGCAAUCCCAGCACUUUGAGAGGCUGAGGCAGGAGGAUGGCUUGACUCCAGGAGUUUGAGGCUAAAGUGAGCUACGACAGAGUGAGACCUGGUCUCAA